rnacentral:rRNA from 1 species
AACGAACGCUGGCGGCAGGCUUAACACAUGCAAGUCGAGCGAGACCUUCGGGUCUAGCGGCGGACGGGUGAGUAACGCGUGGGAACGUGCCCUUCUCUACGGAAUAGCCCCGGGAAACUGAGAGUAAUACCGUAUACGCCCUUUGGGGGAAAGAUUUAUCGGAGAAGGAUCGGCCCGCGUUGGAUUAGGUAGUUGGUGGGGUAAUGGCCCACCAAGCCGACGAUCCAUAGCUGGUAUGAGAGGAUGAUCAGCCACACUGGGACUGAGACACGGCCCAGACUCCUACGGGAGGCAGCAGUGGGGAAUCUUAGACAAUGGGGGCAAACCUGAUCGAGCCAUGCCGCGUGAGUGAUGAAGGCCUUAGGGUUGUAAAGCUCUUUCAGCUGGGAAGAUAAUGACGGUACCAGCAGAAGAAGCCCCGGCUAACUCCGUG